UAGCUUUGAGUCUGACUGCUCAGCUGAUC
rnacentral:piRNA from 1 species